AUAAACAUUAAAAAAAUGUCUAAAGUACCAGUUCUCGUCCGAUCACUAAAAUAAAGCAACGUUGGACAUAGUACUUGGAUGGAUAACCGCUUGGAAACACCGUGUGACAUUGUC
rnacentral:rRNA from 1 species